rnacentral:rRNA from 1 species
GGGGAAUAUUGGACAAUGGGCGCAAGCCUGAUCCAGCCAUGCCGCGUGUGUGAAGAAGGCCCUCGGGUUGUAAAGCACUUUCAGUGGGGAAGAAAGCCUGGUGGUUAAUACCCGUCAGGAAGGACAUCACCCACAGAAGAAGCACCGGCUAACUCCGUGCCAGCAGCCGCGGUAAUACGGAGGGUGCGAGCGUUAAUCGGAAUUACUGGGCGUAAAGCGCGCGUAGGUGGCUUGAUAAGCCGGUUGUGAAAGCCCCGGGCUCAACCUGGGAACGGCAUCCGGAACUGUCAGGCUAGAGUGCAGGAGAGGAAGGUAGAAUUCCCGGUGUAGCGGUGAAAUGCGUAGAGAUCGGGAGGAAUACCAGUGGCGAAGGCGGCCUUCUGGACUGACACUGACACUGAGGUGCGAAAGCGUGGGUAGCAAAC